AGAACAAUGUCGCAUCAGAUGUACUGCAAGUAUAUAUACAUAUUUGAAUUUCGAAUUUGAAUUUUUGUAGGGUUUGUGAUUUUCCACUUCUCCAUCCAACGGUAAUGAACCGUAACGCUCAGUCCCUACAUUUUGUUAUUUAAAUUUUCACAGAUUCAUUUUCUUCUCUCUUCCACGCCCUCUCUCUUCCCCCUCUGAACUCCAGUCUGUCCCUCUUUUCCUCUCUCCCUCUCUCUCUCGGCUAGCCCCAUCACCGCCCAACUCGGACCGUUGUCGCAUCGUCGUUCGUAUUUUAAUCGGCCCACACUUGCGGGGCUAGUUCUCAUUCUUGGCCCCACUCGAAAAGCGUAAGAUCUGCUCUUGGAAAAUCUCAAUGCGGUGGAGGAUAAAACUCUUUCGAUGUGAGGCAUACAUGUGUAUUCAGAUAGAUUAGUCGAGGAGGCUCAGAAGGCAGUCCCAAACUGAUUUCAGUGUGGUAAGUUAGAAACUUUUAGCUAACUUCAUAUUUCAUUUUUAAUCUUAGUUCCAAACCUGCUGGAACACAAGUGUCAGUUAUGGGCAUGAAACUUUUCUUGCUUGUGUGUGUAUAAAACUCAUAAAAAUAUGAAGUAGAUAAUAUGCUGGAAGAGGGAGGGAGAGUAUAUUGAGGAGCUUCUGCUAGCUUAUGCUGUGUUGAGGAGGGUGGCCUUAGUUUUGGAUGAAAAAUGAGACAGAGACUGGCGACUUCACCUCGAGAACACUUCCAACAUUGUACUUUAAUCAUAUCCACUCUUAACCUCCCAAGAACCAAAUGUGCCAACUUAAGCAGUUCAGGCUUUCUGUGUUGUUGCAUUUUUGCAUGACUUGCAAUCUCUUUAGAGAGGGCUGGAUGGUAGGUAAACUGCCUGUAAGGCCUACUUUUAAUCUAAAGAAGAUGAGAGAUAACCUACAUUUGCUGGAGAUUCCCACAUUUACACUGUUUUCAUAUGUGAAAGCUUGUUGGAAAUUUCCAUUUUCCACAUUUCUAGUUCAUGUUUUACUCUUGAAUAUAAUCGUUUAUAUGGUUAGUAAUGUUGCAUUUGGUUGUUCACAGAACAAAUAAGUUUUUUUUAGUAAGUUAAACUUUAAAACGAUCAAAUG